AAAACUGUGCCAAUCAAACACCAGAGACCAUGAGAACAGCCGUGUGUGGGAGGGGGCGGAAACAAACUGUGCCAAUCAAACACCAGAGACCAUGAGAACAAUGGUGUGGGGGAAAAAAAAAAGAAAUGGAGGAGGAAUAUUUAAGGAAAUCUGCAACAUAAGAAAAAAAUUAGAAGUAGGUCAGAAAUGAAAGAGCAACCAUACGUGUGAACCCAAUGUGCUUAGAAAGUGAGAGCACCGUGGCCGUGUCCUUCAGGAGAAUGAGCUUUUGCUACGGGAGAACAGAGCCAGUAAGUUACGUGCUGACGACCACACUAACACCCCUGAGCCUACAGAGAAUAAAAGCAAGGCAUUUACAGCCAGAAGACCAGAAUCCAAGUUGCCCCCACCCAUUCUAUUUUCUUGGGGUAACCACUUCUUUCCCGCAAGCAUCAGCUUCCUGCAAGCAGCCCUGGGUGAACUCCCGCACCUCCCAGUGCCGUGCAGCCCCAAGGGAACUCCCGCACCUCACAAGCUGCCCAAGUGGUGCACAUACCUGGCUGCUUCUGUCGAGGCUUAGGCAAGUUUGUGACGCAGGUGUGGGGGCACAUUAGGACAUUGCAGGGGUGCAGAGAGCCCUCCAGAAAAAGCUGUUUUGUUUCUGAUAAAUGGAUCCCACCAAGCGGGGUUUUGGGGAGGGUGUUUGCUGGCACCAAGGCCAGGCAAUAAACUCCAACUUGAUGUAUACUGUCAAUCGCCUAGAAAGUUAAUAAAGAGGAAAUCAUGUUAUAAGAGGAAGUAUAAACAGUACGUAUUUAUAUUAUGCAAAAUAUGAUCCACAAUACACAGAAGUCUGUGCAGUAUAAGCACUGUUCCCAGCAUAAAAAUGCCAAGGUAAGAGAAAGGAUUUUCCUACUAAACUCACCAAAGCUGAAUAAUGUUACCCAGGGCUUGUGGAAGACCAUACACAGUAAAAAAGGAACUUUGGAGAAAAGAUAACAUGUUCUCAAGAUCAAACAAAAAGCUUACUUCGACCUCCCCAAGGUGUCCGGUAGGAACCAGCUGUGCAAAUUCCUGGUCCCUACACCCUCGAUCUGCUGAGCUAGUUUCUGGACACUUGAUGUAGUUCCUGAUCAAAUGAAGGGAAGGGAAAAAGGGCCACCCCAUGGGCAAAGCAACAGCUGGUCACACCAUGAUCUGAAUGAAGUAAGGAGGCCAGAAACAAGACACAGGGGACCAGUGCCCAGGGCGAGGGAGGGCAACCUGCAGCACACGGCUCAUCCACUGGAAACUGUCCUCUUCCGUGGAGUCAGGCCUCUGCUCAGCCACGAUCACGAUCCUCUCGUCGUGCAGCACGGUCACCGAGAACACGGCUAUCCUGCGGGGACACAGGAGCAUGGUGAGCACGCGCCGGGGACGCUCAUGCAGCCCUCCCUCCGCCAUCAGGGGCUCCAUAACCAUCACUAGUGAGUGACACAGCUCCAACUACGACUUCAAAACGGCCGCUGUACUUCCGAAUUUCCCCACACUCAUCAGUACGGGAAGAACUGUGGGAGGCGCCCAGGGAUGCUGCCGAGGCAAGGUCACCCUGAUCCCCACGGAGGCCACACACAGCACCCGCGGGCUCUGGUGACCAGGUUGCGCCUUUCGGUACAGAGGGGCAAAUGCGCAAUGAUCAGACCUGCUGAAAUUUAGGGAGUCACACCCUUCACAGCUCGAGUUUGCACCCGUGAAGUUAACGGUCUCCAAAUCAGUAGAAAUUUGCCGUUUCAGAACUAGUGAUUUUCUGCUAAGUGUAUGUGCCUUAUACUGUCAGCACAGCACAGUCACCUCCAGUAAAAGAGAUUGUAGCUGUAAAGAUAAUUCAAAGGCAGCAACAUCAUAUCCAGGUAUCUACUUCCUGCUCCCAUCAGCUUCCAAACUGAAAAAAGGCUCUAAAACACUUUAUGACUUCCUCCAGAUUGGCAAAAACUCAGGAACCGUGGCAACUUAUUUCAUCACGGAGCCUCCACUGUGCACCAGGCAAGGCAGGGAGAAGAAAACUGGUAGAGCGGGGAGGUGGCGAGCGUCUGCACUCACACAAGUCUGUGACUGAACCAUUGUCCUUGGGUCUCUCCAACCCGCUCCACGAUGGAUAUCUGGAUCUUUAAUUUGUGCAGUUAUUUAUCAGAAAUAAGUUUUCUAAUGCAUAUUUCUAUUAUACUUAGAGGGGAAGUUCAAUGGAAAUAUAUUUAUGGAGCUCAGGGAAUUUCUAUAAAAUCUUGGACAUUCAGAACUGGAUUAAAUCUCAGAGGUCAGAGUCCAGUUGCUUCAAUAACAUGGAAGAGGAAACGGAGACACAAUACAUUUAAGGAAACUGUGCAACUUUCAACCCUUCAAAACCACAUAAAAAAUAUGGCCGACCGGAAACCAUAUGCUUGAUUUGCAGAACGCCACUGACCUUCCCCGGUAGACAAACUUCAUGGGUUCUACGGCCAGCGCAGUGGCCACGAUGUCGUCGGCGUUGUGCCUGCGCCCGCUGACCACCAUGAGGCCAUCCAUCUUGCCCACCACGAAGACGAGGCCUCCGGGACCCACGAACCCCAGCAAGCCUGUCCUUAUGAAUGGGUAUUCACUGAUCGGAGCCCCGGAGCUUGUCAUGGGAAACACCUGGGGGAAACAGCAUCCAUCAGGCCACUGUUCAUGUGGUCAGCUGGUUUUAAUCCUCGCCGCUACUCCUGGGAGCACGGCACCUGCUUUGCUUAAGCUCUGCCUUUCACCCCAGCAACCCUGCCCUAGGGCCGAGGUCACAGUGACCGCUGGUGGCCAACAGUCUUCGAGGCAGAAAAGCACUUCCUGCCCACCUCAGCAGGACCCCAUCCGUUCCUGCACCUCCACUCACCUGCUGGAGCCUCCUGCCUCUGAACCCUGAACAGAUAACACCCAGAAGUCUCACAGGAGGCCAAUCAGCAGUAACUGAUUACUUGGUUUACAAAACCACAAUGUAAAAGACGAGUGAAGAGUCAAGGUACAUUUUAAACAACGUCUGUUAGUUUUAAAGUAAUCUCUCUUCAUUCAUAAAAUGUUAUUUGCCCUUGUUGGAAGUAUGCUGAAAAGAAAAAUAUUAAGGAAGCAAAUCAGAUCA
rnacentral:lncRNA from 1 species